GCCCUCGUAGAUCGUGGUCGAUCAUCUUCAUCCUAUAAUAUGUUGUAUCAAUACAGUUCAUGAAGACGUUGUAGGUUCGAUUCCUACCGAGGGCA